CCUACGGGUGGCAGCAGUGAGGAAUAUUGGUCAAUGGACGAGAGUCUGAACCAGCCAAGCCGCGUGAAGGAUGACGGCCCUAUGGGUUGUAAACUUCUUUUAUAAAGGAAUAAAACGAGGCACGUGUGCCUUUUUGCACGUACUUUAUGAAUAAGGAUCGGCUAACUCCGUGCCAGCGGCCGCGGUAAUACGGAAGAUCCGAGCGUUAUCCGGAUUUAUUGGGUUUAAAGGGAGCGUAGAUGGGUUGUUAAGUCAGUUGUGAAAGUUUGCGGCUCAACCGUAAAAUUGCAAUUGAUACUGGCAGUCUUGAGUACAGUUGAGGUAGGCGGAAUUCGUGGUGUAGCGGUGAAAUGCUGAGAUAUCACGAAGAACCCCGAUUGCGAAGGCAGCUUACUAAACUGUGACUGACAUUGAUGCUCGAAAGUGUGGGUAGCAAACAGGAUUAGAUACCCUUGUAGUC
rnacentral:rRNA from 1 species